rnacentral:rRNA from 1 species
CCUACGGGAGGCAGCAGUAGGGAAUCUUCCACAAUGGACGUAAGUCUGAUGGAGCAACGCCGCGUGUGUGAUGAAGGGUUUCGGCUCGUAAAACACUGUUGUAAGAGAAGAAUGACAUUGAGAGUAACUGUUCAGUGUGUGACGGUAUCUUACCAGAAAGGAACGGCUAAAUACGUGCCAGCAGCCGCGGUAAUACGUAUGUUCCAAGCGUUAUCCGGAUUUAUUGGGCGUAAAGCGAGCGCAGACGGUUAUUUAAGCCCGAAGUAAAGGCCAACAGCUUAACUGUGAAGGGCCUUUGGAAAUUGGAAAAUUGGGGGGAAGUGGAGGGGGGUGAAAUUCAAUUGUGGCGGGUAAAAGGCGUAGAUAAAUGGAGAACACCAGUGGCGAAGGCGGCUCUCUGGACUGUAACUGACGUUGAGGCUCGAAAGUGUGGGUAGCAAACAGGAUUAGAUACCCUAGUAGUC